GACGAACGCUGGCGGCGUGCUUAACACAUGCAAGUCGAGCGGAGCGGCGAACGGGUGAGUAACGCGUGAGUAACCUGCCCCCCUCUCUGGGAUAAGCCUGGGAAACUGGGUCUAAUACCGGAUAGUGUGGGGUGGGCCCGCGGCCUAUCAGCUUGUUGGUGGGGUAAUGGCCUACCAGGGAGGCGACGGGUGGCCGGCCUGAGAGGGGGGACGGCCACAUUGGGACUGAGACACGGACCAGACUCCUACGUGAGGCAGCAGUGGGGAAUAUUGCACGAUGGGCGGAAGCCUGAUGCAGCGACGCCGCGUGGGGGAUGACGGCCUUCGGGUUGUAAGCUCCUUUCACCAUCGACGCGGUAGAUGGAGAAGAAGCACCGGCUAACUACGUGCCAGCCGCCGCGGUAAUAC
rnacentral:rRNA from 1 species